AACGAACGCUGGCGGCAGGCCUAACACAUGCAAGUCGAGCGAGACCUUCGGGUCUAGCGGCGGACGGGUGAGUAACGCGUGGGAAUAUGCCCUUCGGUUCGGAAUAGCCCCGGGAAACUGGGAGUAAUACCGGAUACGGUCUACGGACGAAAGAUUUAUCGCCGAAGGAUUAGCCCGCGUUGGAUUAGGUAGUUGGUGGGGUAAUGGCCUACCAAGCCGACGAUCCAUAGCUGGUUUGAGAGGAUGAUCAGCCACACUGGGACUGAGACACGGCCCAGACUCCUACGGGAGGCAGCAGUGGGGAAUCUUAGACAAUGGGGGAAACCCUGAUCUAGCCAUGCCGCGUGAGCGAUGAAGGCCUUAGGGUUGUAAAACCUUUUUUGAGGGAAGAAUUAUGACGGUACCUUAAGAAUAAGCACCGGCUAACUCUGUGCCAGCCGCCGCCGUAAAAC
rnacentral:rRNA from 1 species